ACUGGGAGAGAGAAGCUGCUCUGUGUGGACUGUAGCUUGCAGCUGUAAUUGUGGAAGAGCGAGAAAGCGUGCUCAUGUGAGAGAGACUCAGAGACUACUAGAGAGAGAGAGAGAGAAAGCAAAAGAGGUUGAGAGAGAGUGAGAGAGAGACAGACAGAUAGCGAAGGCUGAAACACAGAGAGUGAAGUAAAUAAAGAAUGCAAGAAAGACAGUACAGUGACGCAGUGCUUCUCUGUCUACUGUAGGUGUACGAAUUCUGUGGAGGCAGCGUGAUACAAGGACUAUACAUUUCCUGUCUCCUAUCAGCCGGAUUUACUCCGAAAAGGGCAUCAAUGACCAUUGGACCAUAUACUUCUCCACAAUAUUGCAGGCACUAAAGGUGGACUUUUAACAAGUGCAGUGACAAUGCAGGAUGUGAAGUUAAAGAACAUGGGUUCUUGGCCCAGCGUUCUCAGUCCACCCCCGCCUCCGCUGUCCGCUCCUCUAGCGACAGCUUCGAACAGGUCCGUCGCGUCGCCCGAGAGAAGGAGAGAGAGAAACAGCUAAAAGCACAGGCCAGGAGAGAGCAGGAGAAACUACGUAGCCGUGACGACGAGGACUCUGUGGACCAGCAGAGGGAGCUGGCGAGACGCCGCGAGCAGGAAAGGAGGAGGAGAGAGGUGAUGGCGGACACCAUUGACAUCAACUUCCAGAGCAACUUGAUGGUCAUCUUUGAAGAGAACCUUUUUCUGAGAGAGAGAUUGAGAAAGAGAUAUGAACUCUACCUUAUCCCACCAUGGCUGGGAUUUCACACACAACACCCUCCCUCCCUCUGAUUAGAGACCCCAGACCAGGAUGUGAGCUCCAGAGACUUGAAGGAGACUGAGGUGAGGUACAGUAAUAAGGAGUAGCCCUCCCUCCCUCCCUCUGAUUAGAGACCCCA